AGUGGCGGACGGGUGAGUAACGCGUAAGAAUCUAACUUCAGGACGGGGACAACAGUUGGAAACGACUGUUAAUACCCGAUGUGCCGCAAGGUGAAACCUAAUUGGCCUGGAGAAGAGCUUGCGUCUGAUUAGCUAGUUGGUGGGGUAAGAGCCUACCAAGGCGACGAUCAGUAGCUGGUCUGAGAGGAUGAGCAGCCACACUGGGACUGAGACACGGCCCAGACUCCUACGGGAGGCAGCAGUGGGGAAUUUUCCGCAAUGGGCGAAAGCCUGACGGAGCAACGCCGCGUGAGGGAGGAAGGUCUUUGGAUUGUAAACCUCUUUUCUCAAGGAAGAAGUUCUGACGGUACUUGAGGAAUCAGCCUCGGCUAACUCCGUGCCAGCAGCCGCGGUAAUACGGGGGAGGCAAGCGUUAUCCGGAAUUAUUGGGCGUAAAGCGUCCGCAGGUGGUCAGCCAAGUCUGCUGUCAAAUCAGGUUGCUUAACGACCUAAAGGCGGUGGAAACUGGCAGACUAGAGAGCAGUAGGGGUAGCAGGAAUUCCCAGUGUAGCGGUGAAAUGCGUAGAGAUUGGGAAGAACAUCGGUGGCGAAAGCGUGCUACUGGGCUGUAUCUGACACUCAGGGACGAAAGCUAGGGGAGCGAAAGGGAUUAGAUACCCCUGUAGUCCUAGCCGUAAACGAUGGAUACUAGGCGUGGCUU
rnacentral:rRNA from 1 species